rnacentral:sRNA from 1 species
UUAAUUGGUUUCUGGGUUGAGGUGUCUGGGGAAGGGCCCAAAUAUCAAACUUUUGAACAGAAUUAGUUGUCUGAGAAGGCCAUGUGCCAUAACCUAUAAACUUGUUAAAACUUUCAACAACGGAUCUCUUGGCUCUCGCAUCGAUGAAGAACGCAGCGAAAUGCGAUAAGUAAUGUGAAUUGCAGAAUUCAGUGAAUCAUCGAAUCUUUGAACGCACAUUGCGCCCUUUGGUAUUCCUUAGGGCAUGCCUGUUCGAGCGUCACUAAAAACCAUCUCACAGAUAAUGUGGUAUUGGUAGCAGUGGAUAGUAAUAACACUACUUUGUCUUACUCUACCGAAAUGAAUAGGCCAGAGAAGUGGACCAUGGUAAUAGACUCCAGGAGUGUUUUAAAAUGCUAAACUAGUCAUACCCAAGUCAUAUUCUGAGCUACUGGACCCCCAUUUAGUCCAAAUCAAAGAGGUUGACCUCGGAUCAGGUAGGGAUACCCGCUGAACUUAAGCAUAUCAAUAAGCGGAG